rnacentral:rRNA from 1 species
GUCAAGUCAUCAUGGCCCUUAUGUCCGGGGCUACACACGUGCUACAAUGGCCGGCGCAGAACGGUGCGAGCCCGCGAGGGCGCAGCGAAUCGCGUAAAGCCGGCCGUAGUCCGGAUUGAAGUCUGAAACCCGACUUCAUGAAGCUGGAAUCGCUAGUAAUCGCGCAUCAGCAUGGCGCGGUGAAUACGUUCCCGGGCCUU